rnacentral:rRNA from 1 species
AGCAACGGAUCUCUUGGCUCUCGCAUCGAUGAAGAACGCAGCGAAAUGCGAUAAGUAAUGUGAAUUGCAGAAUUCAGUGAAUCAUCGAAUCUUUGAACGCACCUUGCGCUCCUUGGUAUUCCGAGGAGCAUGCCUGUUUGAGUGUCAGUAAAUUCUCA